UUCGUGGAGGUCCGAACCCACGAGCGUUGAAAAGCUCGGGGAUGACUUGUGGGUAGCGGUGAAAUUCCAAUCGAGCCCGGAGAUAGCUGGUUGUCCCCGAAAUAGCUUUAGGGCUAGCCUGAAGGUGGGAGAUACGGAGGUAGAGCACUGAAUGUCCUGGGGAGUAUUGCACCGACCGAAGACUAUCAAACUCCGAAUGCCGU
rnacentral:rRNA from 1 species